UCAGACAGCAAUGCAUUCUCCAGGAUAGCAUUUGUUAGCGUUUUUUUUCACGUAUUUGGGUUCUUUAACAAUAGAUAUGGUUAAGAGGUGUAGUCACGGACUUUGUAAUAGUGACGACAGGUAUCCUGAAAGGCUAGUUGGUGGAGUUCAAUUCUUACCCUUUCCAAAACCGAAGACCCAGUACGAAAAAUGCCUUCGAUGGAUUAAACUUUGUGGAAGACAGCAUGAUCAACUGAAUCCAUCAACCGGAACAGAAACCGGACUUUGUUUGCACGAAGCAAGAGGCGGCACGGUGGAGCAGCUGUCGAGCGUUGGCUUCACAGUUCUGAGGACCGGGAUCAGAGCCCAGCUCCGCCUGUGUGGAGUUUGCAUGUUCUCCCCAUACCUGCGUGGGUUGUCUCCAGGCAGGCCAGUUUCCUCCCACAUCCCAAAAACAUGCAUUCCAUGGAGCCUCUAAAUUGCCCCAAAAUGUGAUUUUGAGUGCGACUGUUAUUUGUCUCCAUGUGCCCUGCGAUUGGCUGGCAACCAGUUCAGGGUGAACCGCCUCCUGCCUGAAGAUCGCUCUGAUAGGAUUCAACAGUCCUGCGACACCUGUCGAGCAUGGUCUGGUGAUUGACGUGGGAGUCAGCAAAUGAGAAUAUCGAGCUGGCUGACUCUUAACUUUAGCCAUUCUGAAUUGAACCAAGGUAUAAACAUGAAUCAAACACCUGUCAGGAAUUUUUCUAUUCAGUUCCUUGUUCAAGAAAAAAUGAAAUUAAUUGUAACAUGGAAGAUUUGAAUUGUUGUUUAUUUGAUGGUUUUGAGAGGGUGAAUUUAAUUUCCACUUGCAGAGUUGUUUGGCUGUUUUAGAAAAACAACAUCUAAUUCUGUUUUGUUUUGUUUAACAGAAAAUUUAGAGUAGCAUGAAAAGUGUUGAAGGCAGCAUUUUUUUUUCUUGGGAUGAUUUUGACAUUUUCCAAACUGCUGCUUAUUGUGAAGUGAAUUGAGUUUGCACGCAUCAUAUAAACAUUGGAUGAAGUUUACACCAGUCAGUCAAAGUAAAAACAAAUCAUCUGAAUGAUUGCUCGUACCUUAAAAAACUUGUGCAGGAUCACUUUAGGAAGUGCCAGUCGUCCAGGGGUGGGCAAACUAUGGCCCGCGAGCACACGUUUCACGGAGCUCAACUCCGUACAGGACACACGUUGCCCUUUUCCAUGUUUUAGAGACUAAUUUGUCUGCUCGAUAGGGACGCGUUUUCUCAAGGUUUGGUUCAGCCGCAGUCGCCCAGAUGCACAAAUUCACUCAUUCCUCAUGAGUGUGUGAGUGUCUUACUCACCAUAGAUGUCUUUACUUCCUUUGGCUUCUCGUCAACCCUCAGUCUCCAGUCGCAAAGCCGAGGCCCAGUCCGGAAACGAUCUCAAGUGCUGUGGCCACGUUUUUUUGCCUGGACGUCUACUCAGCCCUUCGAAACCGGGGAGAACAUGCAAACUCCACACAGGCGGGGCCGGGGUCGAACCCGGGUCCUCAGAACUGUGAGGCCAAAGCUUUACCAGCUGAUCCGCUGACUCACCGUUCCACCCAGUUAGUUUUUAUCUUAUAUCAUACAAAAAUACACGUCUUACAUAGUGCCAAGAGUAAGAAAAGUCAGCAGACAGAAUGAAGGAAUUCUGCCUGCUCAAUGGACACUGGAGCACUUUAGGGUAUUGACAUUUUUCUUCACAAAGGUACAAGGCAAACAGAAACCAAAUGGAGGUAUUGAGCCACUAUUCAGAGGAAGCAAACAUAGCUUUUAUGACGUGCUUGUCCUGAGCAGAAUGUCCAGGAAAGGAUAUGUAGAGGCUCCAGUGAGAAUUGAACUCACAACCCCUGGUUUACUAGACCAAUGCUCUAACCACUGAGCUAAGGAGCCUUUAGCUAUGACCCUGGGAGAAAAGCCUGCACUCUACGCGCCAGACCUAACGUGUUGGAAACAAUUCCUUUUAUGUUGGCCUGAGCUCCAACGGGGCUGAAAGGGGUGUGGGGGAAGGUUUGGUCUGAUCUCAUUUUUUAUUUGGUCCUCUGAUUGUUUGAAGAACGCUGAUGAAUCUGUCUACACCUUUAGUGAGAAAGAGAGAGAGGAUCAUUCUGACUGAGGAUCAUGGUCUCAGGUUUGGAGGUGCUGAUUCUCACCCCGAAUCAGUUUAUGAAAUGAUUGUUUCGGUUUUUUGUUGUUUUUUUUUUUUUUUUUUGCUUUGCUGCUACCCAUCUAUACCACCAGGUCGCUAUCAAAAAAAAAUAAAAAUAAAGAACUCAAGCUACGUAGAAAUGAUUGUAGUGGGGACAUAAAAAAGUGCAACCCUCGCAAAUAAUGAGGGAACACUAUAUAAAGUUGAGUGAAUGAUGACAAUUGUUUUUUUUUAUUCCAGAGAUCAUCAAGGACCAGUUCCAAAGUUCUAUCAUUCGACUAAUACUGCUAAAUUAAUCGGUUACGGAAGUCCUUUCGUAAUGUGGAUUUUCGUAAGGAGAAGCACAUUUUACAUCUAUAGUGCCUUGUGAACGUAUUCGGCCCACUUGAACUUUUCAACCUUUCGCCACAUUUCAGGCUUCAAACAUAAAGAUAUAAAAUUAUUUUUUUAUUGUCAAGAAUCAACAACAAGUGGGGCACAAUUGUGAAGUAGAAUGAAAAUUAUGGGAUAUUUC